AUAUUUACAUGGAUGAAAUCAAUGGGAGAUCAAGAAGGGCCAUGACCUAAGCAGGUGACCUACAUUGCACAAUGGAGAGGUGCCCGCUUAAGGUAGAUCCAAGCAGUCGAGCCUACGUAAUAUUUGUGGUAGUGGGGCUUAUGUUCACACGGUCCCUAC